rnacentral:tRNA from 1 species
GAACCCGUAGCUCAAUGGUUAGGGCGUUUGACUUCUAACCAACAGAUCACAGGUUCG